rnacentral:rRNA from 1 species
AUUGAACGCUGGCGGCAGGCCUAACACAUGCAAGUCGAGCGGAUGAAGGGAGCUGGCUCCUGGAUUCAGCGGCGGACGGGUGAGUAAUGCCUAGGAAUCUGCCUGGUAGUGGGGGAUAACGUCCGGAAACGGGCGCUAAUACCGCAUACGUCCUGAGGGAGAAAGUGGGGGAUCUUCGGACCUCACGCUAUCAGAUGAGCCUAGGUCGGAUUAGCUAGUUGGUGGGGUAAAGGCCUACCAAGGCGACGAUCCGUAACUGGUCUGAGAGGAUGAUCAGUCACACUGGAACUGCGACACGGUCCAGACUCCUACGGGAGGCAGCAGUGGGGAAUAUUGGACUAUGGGCGAAAGCCUGAUCCAGCCAUGCCGCGUGUGUGAAGAAGGUCUUCGGAUUGUAAAGCACUUUAAGUUGGGAGGAAGGGCAGUAAGUUAAUACCUUGCUGUUUUGACGUUACCAACAGAAUAAGCACCGGCUAACUUCGUG